rnacentral:rRNA from 1 species
GACGAACGCUGGCGGCGUGCUUAACACAUGCAAGUCGAACGGAAAGACCCUGCUUUUGUGGGGUGCUCGAGUGGCGAACGGGUGAGUAACACGUGAGUAACCUGUCCUUGACUUUGGGAUAACUUCAGGAAACUGGGGCUAAUACCGGAUAGGAGCUCCUGCUGCAUGGUGGGGGUUGGAAAGUUUCGGCGGUUGGGGAUGGACUCGCGGCGUAUCAGCUUGUUGGUGGGGUAGUGGCUUACCAAGGCUUUGACACGUAGCCGGUAUGAGAGGGUGAUCGGCCACGCUGGGACUGAGACACGGCCCAGACUCAUACGGGAGGCAGCAGUGGGGAAUAUGGGACAAUGGGCGAAAGCCUGAGCCAGCAAUGCCGCGUGAGUGAUGAAGGCAUUAGGGUUGUAAAGCUCUUUUACCCGGGAUGAUAAUGACAGUACCGGGAGAAUAAGCGCCGGCUAACUCCGUG